UCUUGGUCAUUUAGAGGAAGUAAAAGUCGUAACAAGGUUUCCGUAGGUGAACCUGCGGAAGGAUCAUUAAUGAAUUGUAAAUGGGGGCUGAUGCUGGCAGUUGAUUCUUCAGCUGUAUUGUGCACGCUUCUAACAAUCUUUAUCCAAACACUUGUGCACCUUUGAAAGAAGGGGGGAAACCUUCCCCUUCUUAUUUACAUACACCGCUUCUAUAAUGUCGAAUGUGAUCUUGUGCCUUUUCCUUUAAGGAGGGCCUGACUUAAUGUUAAUACAACUUUUAACAACGGAUCUCUUGGCUCUCGCAUCGAUGAAGAACGCAGCGAAAUGCGAUAAGUAAUGUGAAUUGCAGAAUUCAGUGAAUCAUCGAAUCUUUGAACGCACCUUGCGCUCCCCGGUAUUCCAGGGAGCACACCUGUUCGAGUGUCGUGAAAUUCUCAAGCUUAUAGAUUGUUUUUCAUCUUAGGCUUGGUUGUUGGGCUUUGCCGUGCCCCUCUUUAUUGAGGGAACGGCUGGCCUUAAAAGCAUUAGCUGACUCUCGUGUAGGAUUGGUUCUACUCAGCGUGAUAAUAAUUCUGACCGCCGAGGACAUCUUUCGGGAUGGCCAAUUCUUGCUUGGGUUGCUUCAAAGUCCGGUUUACAGAUCUCUAUAUCUGUUCCACUAUCAAGUUGACCUCGAAUCA
rnacentral:rRNA from 1 species